rnacentral:rRNA from 1 species
AAUGAACGUUGGCGGCGUGGAUUAGGCAUGCAAGUCGAACGAGAUCUGUAGCAAUACAGUGAAAGUGGCGAAAGGGAGAGUAAUACGUAGGUACCUGCCCUCGGGUCUGGGAUAGCUGCGGGAAACUGCAACUAAUACCGGAUGACGUCUCUGGACCAAAGGUGUGAUUCCGCCAGGGGAUGGGCCUGCGUCCUAUCAGCUAGUUGGUGUGGUAAUGGCGCACCAAGGCUAAGACGGGUACGGGGUGUGAGAGCAUGCCCCCGCUCACUGGGACUGAGAUACUGCCCAGACACCUACGGGUGGCUGCAGUCGAGAAUCUUCCGCAAUGGGCGCAAGCCUGACGGAGCGACGCCGCGUGUGGGAUGAAGGCCUUCGGGUUGUAAACCACUGUCAGUGGGGAGCAAAUGCAUCAGGGUUCUCCCUGGUGUUUGAGCGAUCCGCAGAGGAAGCACAGGCUAAUUCCGUGCCAGCAGCCGCCGUAACAC